UAACUGCGUGCAGACGUGUGAACUGCAGGACACAUGAACACUGACGUUUCGAACGCAAUUUUUUUUUAAAAUCAAGUAGCCUGUUUGAUACACAAGUUUCAUUGCUGGGUUAAAAUUUACCUCAGUUAGAAUUCUGGUAGCGCUGAACAAGAAAGCUAACUUGAUGUUAUAAUAAAAUGUUAAAAGCGAUGAAUGUUUCCGCUAUUCAAAAUUUAUACAAUAAAACAAAUCAAACAUACGACCUCAGAGUAGGCGAGAUUACCCGCUAAAUUUAA
rnacentral:misc_RNA from 1 species